AGCGAACGCUGGCGGCAGGCCUAACACAUGCAAGUCGAACGGAUCCUUCGGGAUUAGUGGCGGACGGGUGAGUAACACGUGGGAACGUGCCCUUUGGUUCGGAACAACUCAGGGAAACUUGAGCUAAUACCGGAUGUGCCCUUCGGGGGAAAGAUUUAUCGCCAUUGGAGCGGCUCGCGUCUGAUUAGCUAGUUGGUGAGGUAACGGCCCACCAAGGCGACGAUCAGUAGCUGGUCUGAGAGGAUGAUCAGCCACACUGGGACUGAGACACGGCCCAGACUCCUACGGGAGGCGGCAGUGGGGAAUCUUGCGCAAUGGGCGAAAGCCUGACGCAGCCAUGCCGCGUGAAUGAUGAAGGUCUUAGGAUUGUAAAAUUCUUUCAGCGGGGACGAUAAUGACGGUACCCGCAGAAGAAGCUCCGGCUAACUUCGUG
rnacentral:rRNA from 1 species